GACGAACGCUGGCGGCGUGCUUAACACAUGCAAGUCAAGCGGGAUCCAACCGGUGGCAACACCGGGGAAGAUCUAGCGGCGAACGGGUGAGUAACACGUGAGCAACCUGCCCCGAAGACUGGGGUAACGACCGGGAAACCGGUGCUAAUACCGGAUGUCGUCAUUAGGCCGCAUGACCUGAUGAUGAAAGGAUUCAUCGCUUCGGGAGGGGCUCGCGGGCUAUCAGCUUGUUGGNGGGGUAACGGCCUACCAAGGCGACGACGGCUAGCUGGUCUGAGAGGAUGAUCAGCCACACUGGGACUGAGACACGGCCCAGACUCCUACGGGAGGCAGCAGUGGGGAAUUUUGGACAAUGGGGGCAACCCUGAUCCAGCCAUGCCGCGUGAGUGAAGAAGGCCUC
rnacentral:rRNA from 1 species